rnacentral:rRNA from 1 species
UGCCAGACUCCUACGGGAGGCAGCAGUGGGGAAUCUUCCGCAAUGGGCGAAAGCCUGACGGAGCAACGCCGCGUGAUCGAAUGAAGGCCUUCGGGUUGUAAAGAUCUGUUGACAGGGACGAAUAAGCAAUGCGAAUAGUUUUGUGUAUGACGGUACCUGUUUAGAAAGCUCCGGCUAACUACGUGCCAGCAGCCGCGGUAAUACGUAGGGAGCGAGCGUUAUCCGGAAUUAUUGGGUGUAAAGGGUGCGUAGACGGGUAAAUAAGUUAGUUGUGAAAUCCCUCGGCUCAACUGAGGAACUGCAACUAAAACUGUAUAUCUUGAGUGCGGGAGAGGAAAGUGGAAUUCCUAGUGUAGCGGUGAAAUGCGUAGAUAUCAGGAGGAACACCGGUGGCGAAGGCGGCCUGCUGGACUGCAACUGACGUUGAGGCCCGAAAGCGUGGGGAGCAAACAGGAUUAGAUACCCUAGUAUUG